GAUUUUUUUAUAAUUUGCAGAGUUGUUCUUCCUUCUUUGCUGAUUAUCCCUCUUUGUGGUACAUAA